rnacentral:rRNA from 1 species
GUCCAUGCUGUAAACGAUGGAUGCUAGAUGUCGCGGGUAUUGACCCCUGCGGUGUCGACGCUAACGCAUUAAGCAUCCCGCCUGGGGAGUACGGCCGCAAGGUUAAAACUCAAAGGAAUUGACGGGGGCCCCGCACAAGCGGUGGUGCAUGUGGUUUAAUUCGACGCAACGCGCAGAACCUUACCUGGGUUCGAACGGCACUGGAAUUGUGCAGAGAUGUACAAGCCCGCAAGGGUCGGUGUCGAGGUGCUGCAUGGCUGUCGU